UACGGGGGGGGCAAGCGUUGUUCGGAAUUACUGGGCGUAAAGCGCGUGUAGGCGGACCACCAAGUCGGACGUGAAAGCCCUGAGCUCAACUCAGGAACUGCAUCCGAAACUGGCGGUCUGGAGUAGUGGAGAGGAAAGCAGAAUUCCUGGUGUAGAGGUGAAAUUCGUAGAUAUCAGGAGGAACACCGGUGGCGAAGGCGGCUUUCUGGACACUUACUGACGCUGAGACGCGAAAGCGUGGGGAGCAAACAGG
rnacentral:rRNA from 1 species